AAUGAACGCUGGCGGCAGGCCUAACACAUGCAAGUAGAACGAGUGGCGGACGGGUAAGUAAUGUCUGGGAAACUGCCUGAUGGAGGGGGAUAACUACUGGAAAAGGUAGCUAAUACCGCAUACCAUCGGCUAUGCCCCGAUGGGAUUAGCUCGUAGGUGGGGUAAAGGCUGACCUAGGCGACGAUCCCUAGCUGGUCUGAGAGGAUGACCAGCCACACUGGAACUGAGACACGGUCCAGACUCCUACGGGAGGCAGCAGUGGGGAAUAUUGCACAAUGGGCGCAAGCCUGAUGCAGCCAUGCCGCGUGUAUGAAGAAGGCCUUCGGGUUGUAAAGUACUUUCAGCGGGGAGGCGUUACCCGCAGAAGAAGCACCGGCUAACUCCGUGCCAGCCGCCGCGGUAAUAC
rnacentral:rRNA from 1 species